rnacentral:tRNA from 1 species
AAUGGAGUGCCUGAAAAAAGGAUUAUUUUGAUAGAAUAAAUUAUGUGAAAUUCACCUUCAUUA